UAGCAUGAAGUCAGACAAGUGAACCCGCUGAAUUUAACAUAUCAAAAAACGGGAAAGAAAACCUUGGU
rnacentral:rRNA from 1 species